rnacentral:rRNA from 1 species
UGGGGAAUAUUGCGCAAUGGGCGAAAGCCUGACGCAGCAACGCCGCGUGAGUGAUGAAGGCCUUCGGGUCGUAAAGCUCUGUCGGAGGGAACGAAUGCUCUUGAGGUUAACAGCCUCGGGAGGUGACGGUACCCUCAAAGGAAGCACCGGCUAACUCUGUGCCAGCAGCCGCGGUAAUACAGAGGGUGCAAGCGUUGUUCGGAAUCAUUGGGCGUAAAGCGCGUGUAGGCGGCUUGAUAAGUCUGGUGUGAAAGCCCGGGGCUCACCCCCGGAAGUGCACUGGAUACUGUCGAGCUCGAGUCCCGGAGAGGAGAGUGGAAUUCCUGGUGUAGCGGUGAAAUGCGUAGAUAUCAGGAGGAACACCGGUGGCGAAGGCGGCUCUCUGGACGGUGACUGACGCUGAGACGCGAAAGCGUGGGGAGCAAACAGGAUUAGAUACCCAAGUAGUCCCUGAGCGGGCUGGCAAGGCGCAU